AACGAACGCUGGCGGUAUGCCUAACACAUGCAAGUCGAACGAGACCUUCGGGUCUAGUGGCGCACGGGUGCGUAACGCGUGGGAACCUGCCCUUAGGUUCGGAAUAACUCCCCGAAAGGGGUGCUAAUACCGGAUAAUGUCUUCGGACCAAAGAUUUAUCGCCUUUGGAUGGGCCCGCGUUGGAUUAGCUAGUUGGUAGGGUAAAAGCCUACCAAGGCGACGAUCCAUAGCUGGUCUGAGAGGAUGAUCCGCCACACUGGGACUGAGACACGGCCCAGACUCCUACGGGAGGCAGCAGUGGGGAAUAUUGGACAAUGGGCGAAAGCCUGAUCCAGCAAUGCCGCGUGAGUGAUGAAGGCCUUAGAGUUGUAAAGCUCUUUUACCCGGGAUGAUAAUGACAGUACCGGGAGAAUAAGCUCCGGCUAACUCCGUG
rnacentral:rRNA from 1 species